AUGGAAGUCAUCACUGGAGUCAUCAUUGGGGUCAUUGGUGUCACUGGGGUCAUCUUUGGGGUCAUGGAAGUCAUCAUUGGGGUCACUGGGUUCACAGGGGCCAUCAUUGGGAUCAUUGGGAUCACGGAAGUCAUCAUUGGGGUCAUCUUUGGGGUCACUGUGGUCAUCUUUGGGGUCAUGGAAGUCAUCAUUGGGGUCAUGGGGGCCAUCAUUGGGGUCAGUGGGGUCAUGGAAGUCAUCAUUGGGGUCAUCAUUAGGGUCACUGGGGUCAUCUUUGGGAUCAUGGAAAUCAUCAUUCGUGUCACUGGGGUCAUGGAAGUCAUCAUUGGGGUCACUGGGGUCAUCUUUGGGGUCACUGGGGUCAUUGGGGUCAUCGAAGUCAUCAUUGGGGCCAUUGGAGUCAUCUUUGGGGUCAUUGGGAUCAUGGAAGUCAUCACUGGGGUCACUGGGGUCAUCUUUGGGGUCAUGGAAAUCAUCAUUGGUGUCACUGGGGUCGUGGAAGUCAUCAUUGGGGUCGUUGGGGUCAUCUUUGGGGUCACUGGGGUCAGGGAAGUCAUUGGGGUCAUCUUUGGGGUCACUGGGGUCAUUGGGGUCCUCAUUAGGGUCAUCUUUGGGGUCACUGGGGUCAUGAAAGUCAUCAUUGGUGCCCUUGGGGUCACUGGGGUCAUCUUUGGGGUCAUGGAAAUCAUCAUUGGUGUCACUGGGGUCGUGGAAGUCAUUAUUGGGGUCAUUGGGGUCAUCACUGGGGUCAUCAUUGGGGUCAUUGGGGUCAUGGAAGUCAUCAUUUGGGGUCAUGUAGAUCAUCACUGGUGUCCUUGGGGUCAUCAUUGGAGCCUUUGGGGUCGUCUUUGGGGUCGUCUUUGGGGUCACAGUGGUCAUGGAAGUCAUCAUUGGGGUCAAGGGUGUCACAGGGGUCAUCAUUGGGGUCACUGGGGUCAUCUUUGGGGUCACGGAGUCAUCACUGGGGUCAGGAAAGUCAUAGAAGAGCGGGUUUGGGCGCAGAAAAGAGGAAUUUGGGGCAGAGAUUUUGGGGUGAAAAAGGGCAGAUUUGGGUCAGUUUUGGGCUCAGUCUUGGGCUCAGUCUUGGCAAAAUUUUGGGCUCAGAACAGAAGAAUUUGGGGCUCAGAUUUGGGGUCAGAUCUGAGGAAUUUGGGUCAGAUUCGGGCUCAGAUUUGGGUCAGUUUUAGGCUCAGAUUUGAGGAAUUUAGGGCUCCGAUUUUGAGGCAUAAAAAGGGUGAAUUUGGGCUCAGAUUUGGGCUCAGAUUUGAGGAAUUUGGGGCAGAUUUGGACUCAGAUUUGGGCUCAGAAAAGAAGAAUUUGGGGCAGAGAUUUUGGGGUGAAAAAGGGCAGAUUUGGGCUCAGAUUUGA
rnacentral:lncRNA from 1 species